GCUGGGCAUGGUGGUGCAGGCCUGUAAUCCCAGUAGCUUGAGAGGCUGAGGCAGGAGGAUCACUAGUUCAAAGCCAGCCUUAGCAACUUAUCAAGGCCCUGUCUCUA
rnacentral:sRNA from 1 species